AGUGAACGCUGGCGGUAGGCCUAACACAUGCAAAUCGAACGGCAGCACAGUAAGAGCUUGCUCUUACGGGUGGCGAGUGGCGGACGGGCGAGGAAUACAUCGGAAUCUACUUUUUCGUGGGGGAUAACGUAGGGAAACUUACGCUAAUACCGCAUACGACCUACGGGUGAAAGCAGGGGAUCUUCGGACCUUGCGCGAUUGAAUGAGCCGAUGUCGGAUUAGCUAGUUGGCGGGGUAAAGGCCCACCAAGGCGACGAUCCGUAGCUGGUCUGAGAGGAUGAUCAGCCACACUGGAACUGAGACACGGUCCAGACUCCUACGGGAGGCAGCAGUGGGGAAUAUUGGACAAUGGGCGCAAGCCUGAUCCAGCCAUACCGCGUGGGUGAAGAAGGCCUUCGGGUUGUAAAGCCCUUUUGUUGGGAAAGAAAAGCAGCAGGUUAAUACCCCGCUGUUCUGACGGUACCCAAAGAAUAAGCACCGGCUAACUUCGUG
rnacentral:rRNA from 1 species